rnacentral:misc_RNA from 1 species
GGUAGCCUAUCGCCUUAGUGUCGCGUUUCGCCUUAAUGACACUGCAUCACACAACACUCCAAACCUACCCAAGAACUCUCACUCAAACCACCUCUCCACGUCCCCAAACACUACUUCCUCCAACCUGCUAAGUAAAAUCCAAUAGCCCAUGCUAACACUAGCUAGCCUGGGAAUGUCGCACCCACAAUUUCAAAAUUAAGCUCAAUUUCAAGUACCUCUCCCUUUGGUUAAAAUAGCCAUUUAUUUCCUUUUCAAAACUGUUCUCCGUUCUAACUUCACUAGCACCAAAUUUUUAUCAACACCAAAACAGAAAACGUCAAUAAAAUCGAUCACAUCGUGCCUUUGCAAUCUCUCUCCUGUAUCUUUCCCUUAACUUUCCCCUCAAUACUCACAAAUCAUCAAUUAAAUCCCAAAACACCCAAAACAAAUAACAAAAUUAAGAGUUAUAUAAACAAAAGAGCAGAUAGAUGGAACAUAAAAAGAAAUUUAGAGCAUUAAAAGAAAAAAAGCAUGCACCUCUUCUCGCCACCGGUGUAGUAC